UUCGUUGAUUUGCUGCUUUCAGUCUUCACUGCAGUUGCAUAUGUUACACAUUCUUCAGGAACAGCUGGCUGCGCACUCUCAGAGCACGGGCACUUCAGACGGGCUUCUUCGGGCAUCUUCACAUCCCACUGCUGACCCUGGGAGCUGCCAGGGGCCUAUUGAACCACGCCUUUUAAGUGUACCACACUCAGUUUUGAAUAGUCAGAAUUUGGAACUCAUUGACCCAGUCAGUAGUGACCAGGACUGAUAACACUGCUGGGCAAGUACCAGAUGAGGGUGCUCAAGGCUGUUCGACAGAGCACCAACCACGGCCUGUCAAUCGUGAGGCAAGGCGUGCCAAGGUCAAUAGUCGCACCCCGCGACCAUUUUUGGGGCGGUCCUGUGCCAAGAGUACCCCAACUCGGCCAAACUUAGAUAUUGCUGGCAG